rnacentral:rRNA from 1 species
UACGGAGGGUCCAAGCGUUAUCCGGAAUCAUUGGGUUUAAAGGGUCCGUAGGCGGUUUUGUAAGUCAGUGGUGAAAGCCCAUCGCUCAACGGUGGAACGGCCAUUGAUACUGCAAGACUUGAAUUAUUAGGAAGUAACUAGAAUAUGUAGUGUAGCGGUGAAAUGCUUAGAUAUGACAUAGAACACCAAUUGCGUAGGCAGCUUACUACACGAUCAUUGACGCUGAUGCACGAAAGCGUGGGGAGCAAACAGG